rnacentral:rRNA from 1 species
UACGUAGGGUGCGAGCGUUAAUCGGAAUUACUGGGCGUAAAGCGUGCGCAGGCGGCUUUGCAAGACAGAUGUGAAAUCCCCGGGCUCAACCUGGGAACUGCAUUUGUGACUGCAAGGCCAGAGUACGGCAGAGGGGGAUGGAAUUCCGCGUGUAGCAGUGAAAUGUGUAGAUAUGCGGAGGAACACCAAUGGCGAAGGCAAUCCCCUGGGCCUGUACUGACGCUCAUGCACGAAAGCGUGGGGAGCAAACAGG